GAUGAACGCUGGCGGCGUGCCUAAUACAUGCAAGUCGAGCGAACGGACGAGAAGCUUGCUUCUCUGAUGUUAGCGGCGGACGGGUGAGUAACACGUGGAUAACCUACCUAUAAGACUGGGAUAACUUCGGGAAACCGUAGCUAAUACCGGAUAAUAUUUUGAACCGCAUGGUUCAAAAGUGAAAGACGGUCUUGCUGUCACUUAUAGAUGGAUCCGCGCUGCAUUAGCUAGUUGGUAAGGUAACGGCUUACCAAGGCAACGAUGCAUAGCCGACCUGAGAGGGUGAACGGCCACACUGGAACUGAGACACGGUCCAGACUCCUACGGGAGGCAGCAGUAGGGAAUCUUCCGCAAUGGGCGAAAGCCUGACGGAGCAACGCCGCGUGAGUGAUGAAGGUCUUCGGAUCGUAAAACUCUGUUAUUAGGGAAGAACAUAUGUGUUAGUAACUGUGCACAUCUUGACGGUACCUAAACAGAAAGCCACGGCUAACUACGUG
rnacentral:rRNA from 1 species